AACCUUUACACUGCACGACAGUGCGAUAGGGGGACUCCGAGUGCGAGGGCAUAUAGCCCUCGCUUUUCUGAACCGUAAGGUGGUUCAGGAACAAGGACUGGGCAAGACCGGUGCCAGCCGCCGCGGUAAUACCGGCAGUCCGAGUGAUGGCCGAUAUUAUUGGGCCUAAAGCGUCCGUAGCCGGCCGGACAAGUCCGUUGGGAAAUCGACGCGCUCAACGCGUCGGCGUCCAGCGGAAACUGUCCGGCUUGGGGCCGGAAGACCUGAGGGGUACGUCCGGGGUAGGAGUGAAAUCCUGUAAUCCUGGACGGACCACCAAUGGGGAAACCACCUCAGGAAGACGGACCCGACGGUGAGGGACGAAAGCUGGGGUCUCGAACCGGAUUAGAUACCCGGGUAGUCCUAGCUGUAAACGAUGCUCGCUAGGUGUGCCGUAGGCUACGAGCCUGCGCUGCGCCCUAGGGAAGCCGAGAAGCGAGCCGCCUGGGAAGUACGUCUGCAAGGAUGAAACUUAA
rnacentral:rRNA from 1 species